AUGAUCUCAAGACUAAGCCAUGCACGUCUAAGUACAAACUAAAUGAUGGUGAAACUGCAAAUGGCUCAUUACAACGGUUAUGAUGUACCCGGGAGUUCCGAUGGAUAUUUCCAGUAACACUAGAACUAAUACAUGUCCCUGCGUUUAUUAGUUUCGCACAGUCCGUCGCUGAGUCAUGGUAAACAGUUGAUCGACUCGACGUCCCGGAACAGUUUCCGCCCCAUCAGCUUCGAUGGUUGGGUAUUGGCCUACCAUUGCAACAACGGGUAACGAGGAAUUAGGGUUUGAUUUCGGAGAGGGAGCCUGAGAAACGGCUACCACAUCUACGGAUGGCAGCAGGCGCGCAAAUUACCCAAUGCAGACACUGUGAGGUAGUGACGAGAAAUAAUAAAGCGGGACUUCUGUUUCGCUAUUAUAAUGAGGAAUAACCAAAGGUCAUUCCGAUUAGCAACUGAUGGGAAAGUCUGGUGCCAGCAGCCGCGGUAAUACCAGCGUCAGUA
rnacentral:rRNA from 1 species